CGCCGGGGGCGGACCGGGGCAGGCGGCUGUAGGGGGCCCUGCCCGAGCAGGGGGGUGGCCCCGCUGCCUGCUGACGGUUCCUCCCGGUCGGUGGCUCCGUGGCGCCGACCCCGGGCGGGCGCCGCCAGGGGCGAGGGGGGAGCCCGGGAGUUGCCUCGGCGCCAACCCUCGAUUCGUUUCUGCUUAGUCCUUCCCACCCGCCCGCCCGCCGCCGCUCCCGGGGAGCAAGUGCCUGCCUCCUCCGGGGUAGAGGCACCGGUGCCCCGGGCAGGGCCGGAGGCCCUCCUGCCGCACGGCCCCUCUCCCCGGCAGCGGGGUGCGCCGCGCAGCCCGCCCAAAGGUGUCCUGGCCCCCGCCGGCAGCCCGGGGCUGAGGCCCGGCGUGGAGCGGCCGAGCAACCCCGCCCGCUGCAGGCGAGGCCGCGGCCCUGACGAGGCGCGGGGAGGCGGGAGGGGCGCGGCCGGCGCGCAGGAGGAAGCGGCGGCGGACAUGUUGUCUCCCCGGCGGAAAGGGCGCUGCGGCCGGUCCCCGCCGAUCCCCGAGAAAAGCCAGCGGUCCCCGGCGGCCCGGGAGCCCGGUGGCUCCGCUAUGGAGGAGGGCAGCAGCUUCCGUCUCUCGGCCGAGUGCCUAGACGAGCCGCCCAACAGCCGCGUCUUCGUGGUGCUGGGCAAGGACACUGGGGAGGCGCUGAUCCGGGAGCGCUUCGCUCCCUUCGGGGACAUCCAGAACAUCUGGCUCCUGCGGGACAAGCGCACCAACGAGUCCCGCGGCAUCGCCUUCAUCAAGUUCGCUCGCAGCUCGCAGGCCUGCCGGGCCAUGGAGGAGAUGCACGGACGCAGCCUGGCCCCCGACACCAAGCCCAUCAAGGUAUUUAUUGCACAGUCAAGAGCUUCUGGAAGCCACCGAGAUGUUGAAGAUGAGGAGCUUACGCGAAUCUUUGUUAUGAUACCAAAAUCCUAUACAGAGGAGGAUCUGCGAGAGAAGUUUAAGAUGUAUGGAGACAUUGAAUAUUGCAGCAUUAUUAAAAACAAGACUACUGGAGAAAGUAAAGGUUUGGGCUAUGUGAGAUAUUUAAAACCAUCGCAAGCUGCCCGAGCAAUUGAAGAGUGUGAUCGAAGCUACAGGGCCAUUUUGGCUGAACCUAAAAAUAAGUCAUCUGAGUCUUUUGAACAUGAUUAUUACAGUAAUAACACGAGACAAGAACCAAGAGGAAAUACACUUCCGUUUUGUGGGCAGCCAGAGUUUUGUAGUUUUGAAAAAAAUGAGAGCAGAAUUCAAGAGUCGGUCUCCAAACGUCUGUCAGUGGUAUCACGGCUUCCCUUUAUACAAGAGCAGCUGUUUGCCCUCUUUGAUAUAGUUCCAGGACUGGAGUAUUGUGAUGUUCAGCGAGAUCCUCACACCAACAGUGGGCAUGCUGUGAUUCAGUAUAGUACUGCUGCGUCAGCUAUAUAUGCCAAGUAUAAAUUACAUGGGUUUGAGUAUCCUCCUGGAAAUCGAUUAACUGUCAUUUUCCUAGAAGAUGGGAGUGAUAGCUCAGAUCUCAUCAGAAAAAUGGCCACACAGCUGGUAACAGCACAUGUGUCAUCAGUGUUGCGGAAUAACAAUGCAAUUGUUCAGCAGUAUAGGACACCGCCUCAGGCAUUUGGAGGAACUUCUGGCUCACAGUUACUUCAGCCACAAACAGAUGCCAUACUUCCACCACACAAAAAAAAAGUUCCACCUGACACUUCUGUGAAGGAAAGGCUUUUCAUACUUUUUCAUCCCCAUCCUUUACCUGUAAAUGUAUUGGAGGAUAUAUUCUGUCGUUUUGGACACUUGAUAAAAGUUUACCUUGUGGCUGGAAAAAAUGUGGGCUAUGCAAAAUUUGCAGACAGAGCAAGUGCCAGUGAUGCCAUAACUGCGUUACAUGGGAAGAUUGUGAACGGAGUCAGGCUUAAAGUAAGGUUGGCAGACUCGCCUACAGAAGAAUCUAAUAAGCGUCAGAGAACUUACUGAUCAGGUGAGUACCCCAUCUGAGCCAUUACUUAAACUGAAGCUCAACUACUUGAAAUAGCGAUAGGCAAAGUAUUUUGAGGUUAGAUAUGAACUUGCAGUGAUAAACUUAAAAUCUCUUUUUAACUAACCACUGGAAAUUUACUUUUGUGAUGUAUGUGUGUCUAUGUAUAUAUGGGGGGGUGUAUGCUUAUAUAUGCACGCAUACGCUUUAUUUUGGUAAAAAUCUAUUUUUAUAAUUUUUGAACAAAUACGAACUAGUCGAUUAACGUCAGUCUGGGUGUUAAUAGAAAUAUUCACUUUAUGUACAGAAGAGUAUCAGUUAACAUUGAAAAGAGUAUGCAAAAAUAAACAAUGGAACUGAGAUCAGCUUGUGUGUGUCUUUCUUUCAUUAAAAACACAUGCCCUCACUGUGAUGUUGGAUAAAGAUGUCGAUUUCAGCCCCUGAAGGGCAGAGGAGAGAAGGGGUAAAUAAAAAAAGGGCAUGGGAAGGACAGGGAAGGUUGCCAGGUGAAACUGAAGGCUUGGGAUAUUUGGAUCAUCUGGAUUCUCAGAAAUCAAGUGUAGCUGGAAUGUGUGAUAGUGAAGAAAAUAUUGCAGUGCAUGUUGUGGAGGGAUUGAAUUGGGGGUUUUUUAACAUUAGGAUUAUUACCAAAAGAAAAAUGUAGUUGGGGGAGGAAAGGCUAAGCCCUGUUUUCUACAAAAUAACUCCCAAACACUACUGUAGCUUCAAAAUAAUUUCAGUAGCCAUAUUAUCUUUAUAGGGAACGUGCAGUUUUGCUUUAAUUCAGAGAAUAUCACAUGAAAUCCUGACUCUCUCUUCACAUCAAUGUUUUACUUCUAAGCUUCACUCCUUUUACCUUUCUGUGUGUAGAUACUCCUUGUGACCCAGGGGUUGCAAAGACCAAAAAAAGAUUUUGCCCGUCAUGUUCUUUUCCUCCUUUUUUUCUUAAGGACUUUCAUGCUGUUCUUUUGAUAAGCAGUGGUUACUAAAAGUAGUCUUACUCUUUAUCCACAACUUGCUAUUUAAAAAAACCCUGAUCUCUAGCAUUCUUUUUCUUCAUUGAAUUGUGGGUAAAACUCAUUCAAAGCUCCUUUUUUUUUUUUUUUUUUGAUUUGAAUCAGCAGCUCUGGUGAAUGCCAAGUUAAAUAACUUGUACCCACGCUCUUACCUUUGUACAAAGGCUUUGUUUGUUUUUGAUGUGACUUUUGCUUCCAGUAAUAAAAGGCUAGCCUCUUGGUCACUGCAGGAAAAACUAUCAUGUAAAGUGUAAUGUAGUACCAGGUCUGCCUUUACUACUUUCUAGGAGAAAAGCAUAGAUCCAGUAUGCAUCCAAAAUUAGAAAGUUUAUUAUUAUUUAUUUUUAAGAAAGAUCAGAGUGAGAAGACUGGGAGGUUCUUUUCUGAUUGUCAGUCUAAACCUGAUUUGUUGUUGUUGGUUUUUUUAAUUCAUACAUGCACAUAGAUGAGCACACAUUUUUUCAGUGUGAUUUUUGAGAAUAAUAUUUUUACACAUGCAAAAUUACAGCAGAGCUCUUUUUCCUUUCCUAGGUUUCAUCAUUUCUGUAAAUUUUUGAAUAAUAGAGAAUACUAGUUUUAGUUUGUUCAAAGACAGACACCCUAAAUCUAUCUUGGACAGAUACUGGUUAAUUCUGGUGCAAAUGACUGCUGAAUACUUCCCCUCUGGUUACUCCCAUCUGCUGGGCCUGUGCAAUAACGCAGGUAGAAGAGCUUUCUGAGUUUACUGUAUUACAGCUUACUACAUCCUGUACAUCAAGUUCCUGAUUGUGAGACUCUUAGCUGGUUGUCUUAGCAUCUAUUGCUGCUUAGGACAGACAGACAAAAUUACUUGCUCUCUUUUUGUCCUUAGUGAGUUUCUCAAAUUCAAACAAAAUGGUACAUAAAAAGUAAGAUUCGUCUGUGCUGCUUUUAAAAUGGUUUGCCCAUUUAAAUCAAGCUUACCACUGUGUCUCUGUAUUGGACUGACUGACAACAUUUUGCAGUAGUUGAGGCUUAUAUUUUGCUUUCCAUUAAAGCUUUAUAUUGUGCAUGUGAAAGGGGAUGGAAUUUUCUCUUCCUCUGAACCAGUACCUUUUUAAAAAAGAUUUUAUCAUACUAACUUUUGUUCUUUUAUAAUUUUAGCUGGAGGAAAUAAUCUUCUUAGCUAAAACUUCUGUGAGUUUUCACUUAAGGAAGUCAUUGCCUUUUAAAAAAAAAAUAAAAUCCUUUCUAAGGUCCUGUUGUAUUGCUUGCUUUUUGUCUCUUUAACAAGGUGACUGGAUUUCUGCAAUAGUACUUUCUGUACAAGGUUCUUUGAUUAAAAUCUGAUAAGAUCUGUGAAUUCAAUAGAAUAUAUGAAAAUAAAUUAAUUCAAUUGACUAAUUCAAUUGAGAUACAUUUAUUUCAGCAGUUUUUAUCUGACUUUUUUGAAGUUUUUUUGCCAAUAAUAUUUUUCUUAACAGAAAUAAUCUUUUUUAAAAAUAUAAUUUACAAAACUGUGUCUUAAAAUUUUUUAUGUUAAUGGUAUGCUACAGAUAAUGCUCUUACAAUGUAAACUUCUGAUCAUAAGAACAGUCUGUUAUCUUGAAACAACCUUUGUUCAUCAGGAGAAUUUAAAUACAUGUGUAUUAAUAUUCUAAACUAAUCCAUCUAAUGAAUUUUGCAGGCUCUGGCUCUCCUACAAGUCAAUGAAAAUUCAGUUGUUUAUAUGAAUAGUUAAAAGUAGCAGAGAAUUGAUGGAAAUACAGACCAGUAAGGUUCUCUUAACUACUUUUAAGUUCUAAUGCAAGUUUUUUUUGGUUGAGGUUCUCCCCUCUUACGCUAAGUAAGUAUUAAUGGUUGAAAUAAUUUUAAGCCAUCUUGCUUUGAGUCAGGGUAGGCUUGAGAAGACAACUACAGCGUCUACUUCUAGGCGGUUGCUAAAAGCAGAAGCUAUCAAUGUUCUUGGCAUUGACCAGCCUCGUGCUUUCUACUCAGGUUUUUGCAUUGCUUUGAGUAUUUCGUGAGAACCUCACUGCAAAUGUCUGAUGCCUGUUGUGUAAAUUAUGUCACUCAAAAAUACAAGAGGAAGGAAAGGAUUUGGUAUCGUUCAGAAGAAUGGAUUGUGGAAUUCUGAUUAAGCUCUUCAUUGCAACCUGAAACUAAAUAAUGACAUGACCCUCAGCUAGCUGACUGACUGACUGAAAACGUGACUAGACAUGGUUCCUGUGGACAGUGACAGCUUUUUUUUUUUUUUUUUUUUUUUUUAAUUGUUACUUGAUAUCUCUCCCUCUCUCUCUCUCUGGUACUCCCUGGUUUUGAAAAUGCAGACAUGCAGUUUUGAAAAUUAUCUAGGCAUUAAAAAUUGUAAAUUGGUGGUUGUUCUUGUAGUCUAUAAUUUUGUAUUUCAGAAAUAUCUCUCGUGUUUAACUGGAUUCCUCCUCUAAGAUGGAAAUUACAAUGAUGGGGAAAUAAAGGAGUCGGCAUUUUGUGGCUUGACUGGUUAAUUGA